rnacentral:misc_RNA from 1 species
AAGGGAAUCGGGCUCUGGAU